ensembl:lncRNA
GUCAUCAUUAUGGUUGAAAUCCUCAGAGAGACGGGUCAUCAUUAUGGUUGAAAUCCCCAGAGAGAUGGGUCAUCAUUAUGGUUGAAAUCCUCAGAGAGACGGGUCAUCAUUAUGGUUGAAAUCCUCAGAGAGACGGGUCAUCAUUAUGGUUGAAAUCCCCAGAGAGAUGGGUCAUCAUUAUGGUUGAAAUCCUCAGAGAGACGGGUCAUCAUUAUGGUUGAAAUCCUCAGAGAGACGGGUCAUCAUUAUGGUUGAAAUCCUCAGAGAGACGGGUCAUCAUUAUGGUUGAAAUCCUCAGAGAGAUGGGUCAUCAUUAUGGUUGAAAUCCGCACCCAUCCUCAGAGAGAAGGGUCAUCAUUAUGGUUGAAAUCCUCACCCAUCCUCAGAGAGAGACAGAUCAUCAUUGUAGAUGUGUUUAAAAGGCCCUA